GCCUGGGUGGCUCAGUCGGUUAAGCGUCCGACUUCGGCUCAGGUCAUGAUCUCGCGGUCCGUGGGUUCGAGCCCCGCAUCGGGCU
rfam:Felis catus isolate Cinnamon breed Abyssinian chromosome B1, whole genome shotgun sequence.